GUCUACGGCCAUACCCCCCUGAACAUGCCUGAUCUUGUCUGAUCUCGGCAGCUAAGCAGGGUCGGGCCUGGUUAGUACUUGGAUGGGAGACCACCUGGGAAUACCGGGUGCUGUAGGCU
rnacentral:rRNA from 1 species